rnacentral:sRNA from 1 species
ACUGGGUGCAGUGAUGUGUGCCUAUAGUUCCAGUUACUUGGAGGAUGAGGCAGGAGGAUUGCUUGACCCAGGAAUUUGGAUUAGCCUGGGCAACAUAGCAAGACUCCAUCUCUU